CUUAUUAGCAAUGUGAUCGAAAUUGUGAACUUUCGAUUGUUUUUUAAUCAAUUAAUGUAAUGUUAAUAGCGAAUGCAGUGAUAAGUGUAAAGCUUUUAAAUAAGAGUAAUAUGUGGACGUUGGAAUAUAUUUUAUAUAGUAACAUACAUUCAUAUAUUUAUAUAUGUAUGUAUGCAAACAUAAAUGUCAGACAGUAACAAGUAUACAUACAUAUGUAUACAGCGUCGCAACAAUGUUUACGUACAGCAGCAACUUCCUUGGGAACGAAUGGAAUAUGUAUGCCGAUAUUAUGAAGACAUUGUUAUUCGUACAUUUUCUUAUAUAUGUGAUGCUUCUAUCACGAGUCAAAUACUUCGUAGUACUUCACUCGUACUUUCACUCCGUGAGAUCAGCUCUCAGGCUGGCUUUGACAUGUCGGACUCAGCCUCUGCCUGCAGGGCAUACAGUAAUAGAGGGGUAUAUAUAAGUGAGAAGCCAAGCGCAAGUAUCAACUGCCAGAGACCUCGACUUGUAUUCAUAUACUACACUUCAAACGCUUUCAUUUGUAUUAUAAAUAUUAAUAUUGAACGAUAAGCUCAUUCUCUGAA